GGGUCAAAUUUUCUGUGCUUGUACAGUAGGUCUUUUGAUAUUUUACCAAUGCCAGUAUGCACUAUCAAAGGUUUUAUCAUCAGUCGCCAAAGAGAUAACUACAAGCUUUGAAUUCCAAUAGAGAGUAUAAUUGGAUGUCCUGCACCUCAAGAAAAUAACAGGGGAAUGGAUGACAGUGCAUGUUACACCUCUGUGCUGCCAUAAGGAAGUUUGGCACUGAAACUCAGCUGGAAUCUAGAUGGAAAAGGUGAAAACAUCCAAGACAAGAGAAUUUUGUCCUUGUGGAUUAGGAGACAUUUCAGUGCCCUCUCAGACCUCUGUGCCACCAGUCUGAGGCCGUGCUAUUGUGUCCAUUUGCUCAUUGUGUCCAGGAGGUGCAGCUGGGUUGCGCUGGAAACAUGGGAUGUGACUCAAAUGGAGCUUUUCUUCUCUCUUUUCUCCCCUCAAAUAUUAGUAGCCUAGUCCUGAUCUUGGCCAUUCACCUCUCACCCUUACUCCCCUAAUUUUAAUUACAGAGAUUUUGUGAUCCUUCUGUUUCUUUCCUUUUUGUUGAUUGGUUGCAGUCCCCAGUCCUAAAAAUCCAAUGCCCAUUUUUCUCAAAGGAGUAAUGGUUCUCUUCUCCUCAGCCCCUCUAGUGAGGCACAGCUGAUGAAAUUUGUGUUGCUGCAGUCUGGAUUUCACCCGACUAUGAGCCUGCAUCUUUCCACCUUUUCCAUCUUGUCCACUCUGCUUUGCCUCAGAGGUUCCACAAGUUUGAGAACCUGGAGUUAGCACAGUCACUUUUCCUCCUUCCCACAUUAGUGGCAUGACAGCUUGUCAUCAGAGAAGUAUUUAUAGUGUUGUGAACUGCUUCACAGCCUCAGGUAGGGGACAGGAAAACCGAGAGCUGAGGACAGACCAGUGCUGGGCAUCCACCACCCACUGAGGUCUCAGUUCAUCCAAGGCAAGGGUCAAGCCAUGCCAGAGCUACAGGGCAGCUCAAUGGUGUGACAGCCAAUGUUGCAAUUGUAGAAGGUUGACUUUUUUCCAAAAUGAAACAAAAUCGAGUCUUCUAAAAUGGCGAUAAUCCUCCUUACAUUACCAGGCUGAUACUCGAGGGAUCAGUUGUCUGCAGGUGUGUGGUGUAACCUCAGACUGGUUGCACGCCAGACCCAGCCUCUCUUCCAGUUCUUAUAAUUCUUAAUUCUGGCAGCACAGAAGUUAAUAGUUUAAGAAAAUUUUGCUUUUUUAAUAAUUAAGUCUGUAGAAGGUAGAAAUCAACAGUACAGUGCAUUUUCCCAGCAGAGACUGUAAAUUAAUUAGGAGCAAUUUGCUGUCAGAAACAAUUUCCAUAAUUUUAAGCAAAAAAGCAGAAAACCCGUUUUUAUCCUGAAGUGAUUUAACUCCUGUGAUGAUGAAUUAUGUGAAAUUGCAAUUUACCUGCUUCUGGCUCCUGGUACCCAGAAUGAAGCAGGUGAGAAUCAGGUUGUGGUUUCUACUGCUGGGGCAGAAUUUCUGAGAGUGAUGCUCUCUCUCCCCACCAUUCAGAUCUUGACCUUUUCAUAACAGAAUUGUCUUUGACACUUGCAAAUUCCUGUCAGGAGAUAAUGAACAAAUUGCAGUGCUAAUCGAACACAGGCCUUUUGUAGGCUUUUGCCUGAUAGUCACGCACCAAAGGUCACAGUCUAACUAAUGAGGGCUUUGGGUGAUACCUACACAAUAUGUGGGCCUUUCUGAAAGGCCAAAAUUUAUGGGUGCCACUUGGGGACAAUUCAGCUAUCACAAGCAUCUUAGAAGUACAGGAAAGGAUGAUCCAUCCAUCACUAAAACCCCAUUAUUGGACUUAAACACUCAGCCUAAUAUGCAUAAUUGCCAGACCUUGGGCUCCUCAAAAAGGCCCCAGUGUCAUUAUGAUAGAUCCUCCUUCGUGUUUACCAGGAAGAAUGAACAUGAGAUGGUCCAUUGUGGCAUUUAGAAUUUCAGGCCAUCAGGAUUUUAGGGUGAUUUGCAGAUAUAAAGUCACUGGGAUGCUGAUUUAAAUGAAGGGAACAUUUGCAGAAUCAUAAAUUUGUCCUGUGAAGUCUAUUAUGUGGAUACAUUUCUGCAGCUGAUAAGCAUUAAAAAAUUUACUGCUUCACACUUGCAUUUUCUCAUCCCCCCCCGCCCUUUUCUUUUUUUGGUGGCCUUUUCAGGUGUGAAUACAUUUACUAGUCCUUCCAUUUUUGCUGUUGUACAAUUAAAGCAGUCUGACCUCUAGCUGCCAAAGAUUUCACCAGAAUACAUCAUGGAAACUCUGCCUUCCAGAGCAAUGGAAUCUGCUCUAUCAUUAGUCCUUGCUUUAAAGUGACAUGUGCAUUUGAUUACAACUGCUGCAAAAUAUAUGGGAAUUGAAAAGGCCCUGGAAGAUAAAUUAGGGUACUAUCCUCAAAAUCUGCAAGUUACCUGCAGAAUUUUAAGCCAGCUUAGAGCAUGUUAACACAGCAAUGCUGUGUUAAAAUCAGCCCUUUCCCUGGGGUGCUGGUGCCAGAUCUCAGCCUGAGCAAUGGCAUUUGGGCUGGUCUCCUGCGUUCCCAUUGCACACAGCUUGCCUGGUGCUAUUCCCUGUCACACAGAGGUCUGGGGCAUUGCCAUCUGCAGCUCCACGGCUGCUGCGCUUCGGCGCUGGCUGAAGCCAUCCCCGCUUCAUGGAGUUGAUCUCUGUUUGGCUCGCACGCCGGGAUUCUGUGGGAUGGAAGGUGCUACAGAAAUGGAUGCUAUAUAAAUAUUUUUGAGUUCUAGAAAUACAGGCUACAGAAAAAGCUCAGCUCAGAGCUGACAGCGUAAUCAGAAUCUGCAUUUCACACCCCAGCGACGGCGCCUUGUGUGACACAGUCUGCUUAGCACUCCCCAGCACCACUGUACCCUUCCAGAUCUUCCAGGGAACCAUGAGAUGUGAGGUUUGUUAGUCUGCAUAUUCCUGUUCUUUCAUAUGUACUAAAAAAUAGCUUUUCUUUUUUUUUUCCCAUUGAAUGAUUACCUUGAAAUUUUUUACCUACUGAUUCAAACUCCCACCAGAUGAGCAUUUCUGUUUCCACAACUGCAAUUCUUGCUAAAUGUCUGGGUAGCUCAUAGAACUGCUGAAAGGCACUGAAGACACCCUCUCCUGGUCAUCCACUGAAUGCAGUAAUUUAUUUUUAAAUGAGCUUGCAAGUCCUAUUUGUGUUAUGUGUGUGCUUAUUUAAGGAUACGUUUGGAAAUUAGUGCUCAUUUGAAGUUAAAGUCCAAGCCAGUGACGUGAGACAUCUCUUUCAAAUUAUCUCAGCAUGUGCAUCAGAUGCCAGGUCCAGGUAAGUUGUGCUGGAUAUGAUAAGUUUGGACACAUUGGUCCAUGCAGUGAGAAACAUCAUGUGUAACAGGCUUUGCACAUUGCCACCAAGAUCAAAAGCUGAAUGACUCCAGGGUCUGUCUGUACUUAAAGCUUUGUUUUGGGUUGGGAUUUUUUGUCAUCCAGUCUGUCAGUGAGUUUUUGUUCUGAAUUGCUUUGCAAUCACCCCUCCAAGUAAAUCCUGCAGCCACUGCUCAUCCUACUCACAGUGACAGCACCUGAAAGACCAGAUGUGAGAUGUGUUGAAUGCAGGCAUGACUCAGUUCCAGCAGGAGGCAUGAGAAAAAAAUCAGAGAUAUUUUUGCACUUUGCUUCACAUCUUCUACUUUGUGGAACAUUGCACUUUUGAGGGAAAUUGCCUGCUAUGAACUAUAGAGCCCAUUUCAAAACAUACAGACAGCUCCUUUACAUAAAAUAUCCAGCAUAAACCCUCAGAAAUCCCCUUGUGUGUAUAACUUGAGUCAAAGAGAAUCAAAUGCUAUUUUGACAAGGUAUGCACUGGCCAGGGUGUGGUCUUGUUUCAAAAUAAAUAUAAAAAAUCAACACAAAAUCAGGAGGAAUCUGUGCAUCUGUCACACAGAGCAUAGGUUCACUAGGUAUUACAAAACCUCUCAGAGAAUAUAUACACUAUUUAAAAAUAAAUGUACAAAGUGUUGGGCAUCGAUGAUUAUAGUUUGGACCACUUGGGCAUUGUUUAGAUAUCUCUCUAUGUCUUGAAAACAUUAAGCUGGUCUGACUCCUUAUGGCAUUCUUUGCUAUUGAAAGUCAUGAUAAAAAGUUUAACAGGAAAAUCUGUGUCUUCUGCAUCCACCCUCCCCUUCCAGGUGUUCCUUUCAGUCUUCCAGUGUAUGUGCCAGAGCCAUUGUUAGAUUAACACCUGGGUUUAAUCUGAAUUUCCAGUUAGAGGUUUCUUUAGGGAGAAUGGAUUGAGCUUCUAGAUCAGUAGGUGACCUGGGAUAAAAGGUUUGAUAGCUCUUUGCCAAAAUUAGGCCAGGAUUUGGAGAGUUCCUUGUGGCUCGGACCUGCCCUCUGCAAAUUGCUGUUUCCUCCUCCUUGUCAUGCUCCUGGUCCUGGACAUUAGGAUGGCUGCACCACUGGGCUUCUCUGGGCUGCUCUUCCUGAGUGCAACACAUCAGAGCUACACCUCAUCUGCUGUCCCCAAAUGAUUCUCUUACCUGUAAGCAUGGAUUCCUAUAUUUACUCCCUGUGAGCAAUGACUUCUUUGUGGGGGAAGUUUUGAUUUGAUGCAUCCUAAUCUGGAUGUGGUCUUGACUUAAUGUUCCUGUAGCCUUUUAGUAAAAUCUGCUGAAGAAUUUCAGAAGAAAACUAUAGGAAGUUUGUCAGCACACAGUCCUGAGACUGCUGAUGAACAGCUUGGGUAAAUCACUCCUAAAAUCCUCAUUGACAAGUCAAGAUAAUAAUAAACACAUUGUCUUCACAGUUGUUAAUUCUCUUUCUGGAAGGUGGGGGUUUUGUUGGGAUUUUUGUUUUGUUUGUUGCCUUAUCCUACAUAAGUCUUACUAGCUGUUAAGCAUCUGAAAAUGUUGUUGCCAUGGGAUAGGAGACAGCUUCACACCUGAGGCCACCAGGAACACACUGACCUCUAAUGCAGAGGUGCAGGAGGAAAUGUGUGAAUUCCUGUUAGAUGAAGUGUUAAACUUCAUCAAAUGGACACUCCUGUAGCCUCUUGGAGACAGAAAUAAUCAUUAUGGAAAACAUUUUCCAUCUGAAUUUUCAAGUGGUUGCUCCAGUGGGAUUUAAGCGGUAGGGCCCUGUGAUGGUUCCACCUGAAUUUGCCUGGAAACAUCAGGUAGGUAUUGGUUUCUGAUGUGGACUGUGCAUUUAUGCAUAAUAAUGUUAAAUAUAAUGUGUUCUUAGCCUUGUCAUAUAACCAAGAAUGGAAUUUAGUUAAAAUAAUUCCCAGACUGGGACAAUCAUUUGAGCUAGCACUUCUGUGGCCAGGAGAGAGACUCAGAGAAGGCAAAUCAUGGACUUAGCAGUGUCCUAUAUAUUAAAGGUUUUGUAAAAGAUUGGAGCUAGGGGAACAAAUAAUCCAAGUAAAUGAGUAAAAUUCCUUGUUUUGCUUGUGGGGGGAGGUGGGGGCGGAGAAGAGGAGAGGAGAUAUUGCUUGGCUUGGAUCCAAGAAAGUGUUUAAAAGCAUGUUAAGCUUUAAUGAGGUAAAUAGUCUCAUCUCUGUGGUGCAGAACGUUUAGGCUUAAUUCUAGGCACAUGCUUAAAUUCUUUGCCAAAUUGGGGUCUAAAAAAGAGUUAUGCUUUUGCAUCUGAGAAGCAGGGAUGAUAUCACAUGACUUCUAUAUUUAAUCACAACUACUGAAGGCAGCUGGGAUUUUGAAUACAGAAUACUUAAAGCAAACUGUUCUUGAUCAAUCCAUAGAGAAAUACUCAGAGGGAGAAAAAAUAUAUACAGUAAAUUUGAAUAAUGAACAGUUUUGAGGAAAUUGCAAUCUGCUUGCAGACAUUUGGAGAGCAGAAAAGAAGCUAAAUUUGUUGAGUAAGUUACUUGCUGUGAUCUAUUCUCUUGGCUCUAAUUAGAGAGAAGUGAGCAGUAAGGGAACUCAGAAAAUGAGACUGCUGUGGACUGAAGUGCCCAAAGAGAAGAGUUUAAGUUGGAAGGGUUUUUUUUAAGUGGAUUAUUUUCCCCCAAGUAUUCUUUAAAUAGGAGGGGAAAAUGUAUAAACAAUCAGCUUUGAUGCUUGACAAAUAUGACAGAAAACGUUUGUUUCCUUUGGAAUUCAAAUCUUUAAGUUUACUAUAGGAGUUAACGAUGUUAGUGAACAGCUGACAACUUUGUAAUUUUUUAGUCUUACUGUCCAUUAUGAUAUCACCCAAGUCUCUUCACUGACUACUUCAGAUCAGACUUGCUCAUUAGCAGCAUUUAGGUCACAAUGCAGCAAAUCAUUCUAUCUUUGAAGACCUUCCAUGACUGAUGGCUGCCCUGUGAAAGACUAAAAUAUAACAACUGUCACUAUUGUUUCUCCAAACAAAGCUUCCAGACAUCAGAUGUAAGGUCAUAUCCAGAAACUUUAAAUUUAAACACUUCCCUGAUCAGGCUGCCCCUUGCUUUGCAGCAGGUCCACAGUGACAGUCACUCCACACAACGAAACUCACUCUUUGUAGUAAUAGGAAAACUCGUUUGUGGAGGACAGAACUUUCUCAGGCUGGUGGUGAAACAAAUCCACAGGAAUGCAAGACAAUCACUUCUUAGGUCAUAUUUCUUUUGCCCUAAUUUCUGUAGUACAUAAUAUAGAGUGGCAGAGAUUUUUAUUAAAAACAAAACCAAAACAAAUAACAAAAAUCUAAAACCCCCAAACCAAUCACUCUGCAAAGUAAUUAAGGGAGUAAAUGGAACCUCUUCUCUCUUCUCACCAGUAUUGUGGGAGUUGGAACUAGAUGUUCAUUUAGGUCCCUUCCACUCUAAGAUUCUAUGAUUAGCAACCUACUGAACCCAUGGAAAAUCAGUAUUGGAUCAUUUUGUCAUGUCUCUUGUACUAGGUAGGAGAGAUAGGAGUUCCUACUUUGAAAAUGGGAUGUGCUUUUUGCAUUUCACUUCUUAAAAAGCAAAAAAUAUUUUUACCAUGUUUUUAAUCUUUCCUGUGCACUUGAAGCAUGCAUGGCAGGCUGAGGGCAUUUAACUGUUUCCAUAUCUGCUUUUAAACAUAGCUUCCAUUCCAAAUUUCCACAGUUUGUAGUCUUUCUUUUCAUGACUACUGCCUCACCAUUUGGAAUUCUCACACAGAAAUUCUUCUACGCAAUUCUUUUGGACAUGAUUGCAGUACAUGUGUCUUAGUACUGCAGUUGGGUAAAAAUACAGCUGAAACAGUUUCUUCCCCAUGCAUUUAUAACACAAAAAUCCUCUGCCUGGAAUUCAUAGAGUUCCUUCAGUUUUGUCACAAGCAGAACUGAUGGACUUUAGUUCAACAGUUUGCUGUUAGUCAGCUUCUAGCAGAGGAAGUGGUGACCACUCUAGAUUGAACAGUCUCAGGCAGUGAAUGGCAGCACCUCUUUUCUUCCUACUUUCUCUCUCUACCAAUGACAUCCUUGCUCGUGCCACUCAGAUACAUGUUUUUUCUCCUUGAUUUCAUUCAUUCUAUUGUAGCCUUGCAGUAUUGUUCUCAGGGUACAGCAGCUUGUUGAAAUGUGUUUAUAAUAACAAUUACACCUACUCCAAUCACUAAAGUGUAAUCUUUAUCUUAAUCAAAAAAAAAAAAAAAAAAAGGAAAAAGAAAAGGACAGGCGAGGGCAGAAGAAAAAAAUAUACAUCACAAACUACUCCAAAGUUCUGCUUGACUUAUUUUUCAAUUACAGCAGGUGAAGCAGAAUGAAAUUGUUACAGCCAUUUAUUGAUUGUGUUACUAUCCAUUAAGGUACAACAGAAGAAGUCCAUCAUAUUGUGUAACAACUUAACUAUUUAAAAUAACAAAGGCUUCCUAUUGUUUCCCAUUUUGGCCAUUAUCCUGACAAAUACAUUCCCCUUCCAUGCUGGAAAUCAAAUUCGGGAAUCAUAAUGAAGAAAUUCUGUAUUCAAGGUGACAUUAUUUCUUCUCCUAGCUAUUGAAAUUCUUCAGCUUUUCCACUGAAAAAUAACUGAAGCAGAACAAAGUUGUCAGAUCACUCUUCCCCAGCACUGGUAAUCGUGUGGUGUUGCAGCAAUUGCUAACAUGAAAUAUCCACAGCCUGUUGCUGUAACCACAACUUCUCUCUUUGAACCUACUCACUACGCGUAAGCUUCAAGUUUCUUUUAGCUUCCUUCAAGUAAAUUGGACUUUAGAUUUUGAAUACCCAUUUAAAGACAAAGCAAGGCUGGCAUUCAUGGCUUCCUUGCGUAGUUAUUUCUAUCCUAAAAUCCCUAAUGACCAUUUUGGGAUUUCAAAUCAUUGUAAAGUUUUGUUGCCAAUUCCUGUGUCCUGCCCCACUGUCACUGCGGAUUUGGGCUCUUGCAUCUCUCAGAUGUCUUUUAUUUGACUUGUACAGUAAAUACCUGUCAGACUCCUGAAGUUGUUUCAUCAAACAAACCCCUUGAUCUCCAUAAUUGAUGCUGAAAUGCUCAAUAUGAAUACCAGUUGUGUGUGUCAGUGUGUUUUAGGAUCAGCUGGAGCCGUGUUUUUGUAGGGUAGUGCUCCAGCCCUUGUGCAGUCUGGUCAAGGGUGCACUGGCCAAAAAAGGAGCUGCACAUCAGGACUUGGUUAACAUUCACUGCCCUUUGUGCUUUCAGAUGUCUGGGGUAUUUCCUCUAUGAGCAUAUAAAGAGGUUGAUAAUAAAUAUGAAACACCUUAAAACAUUACCGUGCACAUAAGUUAUUUCUGAAUAUACCUCUAGAGCAGAGGCAAAAAGAGCACCUGUCCAGCCAUCUUUGGGUGUUCCAUAAGUGCAGUGCAGGUGUUCCUGAGUCACCUGGUGGUGAAGAAGUGUGCUUGGAUUUCCUUGUUUCAAUGAACAAGCAGCUACCACAUGACUGUGCUGUGUGGUUGCACGUCAGGGGUUAAUUUUGUUCUCCAAGCACAUUUGGGAGUGUGUUCAGGCAGCACACAAAGUGAAGGCUGGGAAUCAAAGCAAGCAGGCUAUCUCCUCCCACAGAUCUCGCAGCAGAAUUUAGGAGCUGAACGAUGCAACAUGUGCAUAAAAGCUUGAUAAUGUUUUUAAAACAUAUCACUUGAAAUAUGUUAACGCAUAUGUUCCGUCAUUUAGAACUCUUUCAUAAUACAUAAUUUGGCCCUUUAGUUUUACACCCAGCUCAUUAUGGCUCAUGUGCAAAGAGAAACAUUCUCAAAAAUUUCUCCUGGUCUUUCCCCAACACUAGCAUGACCUUUCUUUCCCACCUUGUGCAGUCCCUUUUUUCUCUUGGCAUCUCACUUUCCAGCUCUUUCUGAGCCAUUUCCAGUCUGGUAGCAGUUUAUCCCAUCAGUGUUUCAAGGGAGGCUGAAAGCUUCAGGCUGCCUAAAGGAGGAUUCAGCUUGCUCUUGUUUCAAAAGUUUAAAGGUUUCCCACAGUUCAAAUUUGCCUGAUUGGCUGUCUGUGAAUAAUUGGUUCUUUUGAAGCAUCAGGGUUUUUUUGCUUUUUUUUGUUUUGUUGGGUUUUUUUUUAAUUUAUUUGUAUCAGGAUUAGAUAAACAGGCUAACAGAACUCCAUUGUUACAGGAAUUGUUGUGAAACAGGCAAAUUUCAUGUUUGUUUUACAAAAAGGCUUAAAUUCAGGUAAGAGUUUACAGGCACAUGCACAAGACCUAUGUGUCAUUUUAAUUUCUCAGUCCUGGUAAGAUAAUAAGCCAAUAGGCAGAAUGGCAUUUUCAUUUAGAAACUGCAGAAGAAUCAGAAAAAUUGCACAGAAGUUCCUUGGAUAAGGCAAGGUAAUGCUUUUCCUGACAUAUUUUCAGUUAAAUAAAAUAUGUCCCUUAUACAGGGCUGUAAAUUGGCCUUGAGCACAGCUCCAGGUGGAAUUUCUCCCUCUUCCCAAGGAACACACACUGCAGGCUGCCACCCAGCCCUUCGUGUGGGCACACAUAUUACAAUGCUGAUGUUGUAAAGUUGCCAUUUACUCAGAUGAAUGGAUUCCUCAAAUCAGGCUCUUUCCUGACGUCUGAAUUUCAUACACUUUCGCUCUCAAUAGUUCCCUUUCAAGGUCAAAAGCAAUUUCUGCGCUUCUAGGAAUGUUCUACUUGCAGGGAUUUUUGAUGUUCCUACAGUUCAUGAUUUUUACUAGAAAUUCAUUUGUCUCAGCAGAUAGGGGGUGAUCAGAUGAUGCUGAGCAAUGCCCACAGGGAGCUGCCUCCCUGAUCUGUCUCGUUUUGUGUAAAGCAGGGUAGAAACUUCUGCUUUAAUUGUGACUGACUUCCCUCUGCACAAGGGUCCUGAAGUCUGAGUCAGGGGAUUUUAAAAUACCAGCUGCUGAUCACAGGCAGAAGAGCUGAGGUGCUCAGUUACUCUCUUGAACAUCUGAGAGUUGCCUGUUGUUGUUACCUGGUACAGAAAUAUGAGAAUCCAGGGAAGAGAGAACAAUGGUACCCACCAUGGAAUGAACUGGUAGCAUUGAAAAGCUGAAAACUGGAUUGAAAUAGGAAAGAAGCUUCCACAUGAAACCUUUAUUUUCGUGCGGUUAUCAGUCUGUUUUCAGAGUUUGGGCCUUUCUGGGUUUGCCUUUCAUUUUGUUUCCAAAUCGACAAUAUCGAUGUGUUGUAUUUUUAAACAUUUCUUUACAUUUCCCUUUCCCCACUUUCCUUUCUUGCUCCCCACCUUUAGUUGCUGCAUAUUCUAAGGUAUGUGAACGGCCAGAAAAUGCAAAUGGAACUCAGGAUGGUAAACCUAUCAUUUUUUAGAAGUUUUAUGUUUAAAUAGCUCAAAAAAUCUGCCUCACAGUACCUUCUCUGUUCUGUUUAAAGUAAAAUAAAGAAAACAUCUCAAUUCUUGAAGUAAAUUAAGUCUGUUUUUUUGGUAAGCCAGUAAGCACAUCAGCUUAUUAUUUUUUUUUUCCCACAACAUAUGGGGCUUUCUGUUUAUUGUCUUUCCCUAAUUUUCAAUAUUUUUCUUUGAGCUUUUGUCAGCAAAGGCACACGCUCCCCUCUGCGGUUUGUACUCCUUCAGAAAAGCAGUCGGUGAAUCUGAGUAAUUUCCCCUUGCGAGAACGCGUUCGGUUUGAGAGUUUAGGUGAAUUAUAUUCUGCUGAUUAGCGAGGCAAGUGCUGUGCUCCAUCUGCUAGAGAAUGGAAUGGGAUAUUUAUAACGUGAUGGAUGUUGCUGUUGGGUGGGUGUGCAGGGCUCCGGUGUGACUGAGCCAUUGGCCUGGGCUCUGGGCUGCUCCCUCUGGUUUCUGUCACACAGGGACAGGGAGUGCUUCUGCAAGGACCACAGUUCAUGUAAAACAGCAGCAAAGUCAAGGGACACUACCCUUUUCCAUCAGAAAUUCAGGAAAAGAAAUGAUUUCUCAGUUAUAACAUAACUAUUCAGCGUUAGGUUAUUAUUCUUCUCCCCUCUCAGAGCAAUUAGAGAAUGUGCAUAUGAAAUUUCUUCUGCGCUCAUUGUGCACUGCCUAACAGGAUGUUUCUAUUGUCCUAGUUUGCUCUGAAUUGCACAUCUAUAUUUGUAUAAAUCCUUUAGAUUUCGCACUUUUCCCCACCCCAGGAAUGGGUGGGUGUUUCAGUGCUGCAGAAAUGCUGGGUGCUGCUGUUAUGAAUUCCUUUAUUUCGGUAUGUGGAAUGAGCACUUGGAAACACUGCUGUUCACUGCUUAACACACCUUCCCUCCAAAUAUGACCAGAACAACUACUUCUUAGCUCCCAGAGAUGACACAGUUAAAACUAAGAAGCCUCAAAAAGCCCCCCAAACUCAGAAUUAAUUACAGUGGAAUUGUACACGGAUGUCUUAGUACUGAACCAUGUUGAAAUCUGCUGCUCUUUACAAGUCAAAGGGACGUAUUCUGCUCUGAAGUAAAGGCACUUGUUUUUCUUAAGGUCAUACAAAACAAAGCAUAUUAUUUGAACAAAUGUCAGAAUAAUGUGUGUAAUGAAAUAUACUAUUUACUCGCUUUCAGCAUUUGAACUGUGACAAAUCUGGAAAGGAAAUCAACACUUACUGCUCUGGUUAAAUAGUCCUUUUAAUAUUACAAGUAAGUUUACAUUGCCGGGCUCAUGUGUACUUUAAUGAUUCCUGGAAGUACAAUGACUUGGCCCAGAGGAAAGCAAAAACCUAAUACUUUAUUUUGUGUGAAUUAAAUGCAGCUAAUUAAAGC